GUUACCAGAUAGCUCAGUUGGUUAGAACAUGGUGCUGGGUAACACCAAGGUCGCAGGUUCGAUCUCCGUAUGGGACA